GUCCCUGUAGCACAGUGGCCUAGUGCACCGGUCUCUCAAGUCGGCGACGAGGGUUCGACUCCCUCCAGGGACGCCA
rnacentral:tRNA from 1 species